rnacentral:rRNA from 2 species
GCGGCGGACGGGUGAGUAACACGUGGGUAACCUGCCUGUAAGACCGGGAUAACUCCGGGAAACCGGUGCUAAUACCGGAUAGAUUAUCUUUCCGCCUGGAGAGAUAAGGAAAGAUGGCUAUUGCCAUCACUUACAGAUGGGCCCGCGGCGCAUUAGCUAGUUGGUGAGGUAACGGCUCACCAAGGCGACGAUGCGUAGCCGACCUGAGAGGGUGAUCGGCCACACUGGGACUGAGACACGGCCCAGACUCCUACGGGAGGCAGCAGUAGGGAAUCUUCCGCAAUGGACGAAAGUCUGACGGAGCAACGCCGCGUGAGCGAAGAAGGUCUUCGGAUCGUAAAGCUCUGUUGUUAGGGAAGAACAAGUAUCGGAGGAAAUGCCGGUACCUUGACGGUACCGGACGAGAAAGCCACGGCUAACUACGUGCCAGCAGCCGCGGUAAUAC